AACUCCUCUAUCAUUUAAUACUUGUAACCGUCCCUUGAUUUCAGCCUAGCUUGCUUUCAAUGUUUGUAACCAUCCCUUGAUUUCAGCUUUGCCUUUAUUACUGCUUUGAUGGUUGUCAUAUGAUCAUUUGAAUGGGUCCACCUUGUCACGUCACGGGAGGGUAUUCCCCCACCUAGCAAUUGUCCCCAAACCCUUUUUUGAAUUCUUCUAGGAAAUUCAAAGGAGAAAAUGGGUUUAAAUUUCAAAUAAGAAGGAAAAUAACUUCCUGACUUCUUAGCAACCAGCAAGAUGUAAUAAUGACAAUAAGAAUGCCAACCGAUCCUGAAAAUAUGACAACAUCGACAGAUUAACGAUUAGAGUUAGUAUGUAAUUUUAAAUAAAUAAGUAGAAAAUAUGGGGUGACGAGACUGUGUUGUCCAUGGUUGACGUUUUUAUAGGGGCUGGUAGGUCGUCCCGCUAGAGGUUGACAAGCUGAAGUUGUCGGUUGAUGUUGUAACUCUGACUAACGACAUGGAGGUGUUGGCUGCUGAAAAUGUCGAGUUGAAGGCGUUGCUUGACAAGGUCAAGAAGAAAAUUUGGGAAUGUGCCGUCUAUUACAUGUGGAAGGCCAGGUCCAACUUGAUGAAGGAAUUCUUGGAUGGGAAGCAUAAUGGCUGGACCCCUCAAGCUGAUAUCAACAACUUUCGUCGAGCAUUCCCUGAUGAGUAUGUCUGUAAUAUCCCAGAUUUUUAAACUUCAUUAAUUAUGCUAAUUAUUUUUAUUAGCCUUUCUAAUUAAGCUUUAACCUGGUUAAUGAAUAUUUUAUUUUGAAAAUUUUAAAUGUUUUAAUGAUGAAUAUUAUUUCAGAUUUUGUGAUUAAUUAAGGAAUUAUUUUAAUUUUAUUUAGAUAUUUGAUUUUUCAGCAAAAAGGAGAAUUAAAAAUCUGAAAAUUUCCUAAUUACCAAAAUGCCUCUAUUUGAGUCAAAAGACCAACAAACAUUCUCUGCUAUUCUUCUUCACCGUGUCAUCUCCUCCAUGAGAGUCAACCAUGAGCUUUUGAUGUGUCUUCACCAUUUUUCAUUCAACUCCUUAAUUCAUCAACCUACUUAUAGGAUUAAAGACCAAAGCUAGAGUAGUCUCUCUUAAUCAGCAAAUUAUUAUUCUCCAAUUCUUCCAUUUGUCAACACAAUUAAGCUGAGUUGUUGCAUUCAUAGAGCACCGAUGCCUCUAUAAAUAGCUGUUAAUUCAUCCCAACACAAAUCAGAAUAAUCAUCAAUUGCUAUUUUCACUGUUCAAAAUCCAUAAAAAUUAUUCACCUUUCUGGUAAUCGAACCACCAUCAUACCGCACCACCAUUUCUUAUUUCUCCGACGACCGAAAUCAGUCCAACACCACCACCGUCGUUUUCUGCCGGCCGCCACCUUCACCCAGAAAUCCGACAACCUCCUUUUCACGGGUUCCGAACAGAAGUCCCACCCAGCCUGUUCUCCUUCUCUCUUUCUCUGCUUAUCGGCUUUGCAACAAUCUCGACCCUCGGAGCUUAGGAAGGACGAUAAUCAAGGUUAGAGAAAAAGCCUAGUCAAUUACGAAAUUGAGGUGCCGACCGGGACGACGGAUGCGAAUAGUGGAAAGGAUUUCGUCUUAUUAGGACUCACCUAGUUUAAGCUUAAUUUGAACUAAGUUCAAGUAAGAAUUUUCUACUAAGUUAUGUAAGUCACUUUUGAAUAUUAAUAUAGAACAUAGUUAUAUUAGUUUUAUAAAAGUAUUAUGAGGAUAAUAGCCUUGUAAUUCCCAAGAGGGAGUUAUGGCGGUAAUGUCCCGACCGAAUUAAGGUAAUUCCGCUGCUUAAUUACUUGAGUUAGAGGUCGGGGCAUUACAAUGUCCCCCCUGGUGCCAAAGAUGACGAUUAUGAUGUUGAGGUAGGCGCAACUGCCACAAGUCCCAACACCAAUGUCGAGAAGGUACCAGGUGAUGGUGAACAAACAGAGAAUGCCGACUUCGAUGUUCAGCCUGAUUUUGAUGAAGGAUUUUUUUUUUGGAUGGCAAGCAGGAUGGUUGGCUCCCUCAGGAUGAUAUCGACUACUUUCGUCGAGCAUUCCCUGAUGAGUGAGCCCCCCUGGUGCCGAGGAUGAGGAUGAUGACGUUGAGGAAGGCGCAACUGCCACAAGUCUCAACAUCAACGUCGAGAUGACACCAGGUGAUGGUGAACAAGCAAAGAAUACCAACCUCGAUGGUCAGCCUAAGUGGACUCCUCCCUCUAUUGUAAAAAAAAUGAUUUAAUUGUUUGUAGUUGGAUAAUGUUUAUUUUUGGUCAGCCCAAUGGGGUUAGCAAGAUAUUUGGAUGUGUUUCGUCUUAAUGGAGGCAGUCUUGUAGCAGUUACAUUUUUAGUAAGUAGGAUAAUGUUAAUGCGGACUUGGUUUGAAAAAUUUGGUUUUGUUCUGCUGGUUUCGAUGUGUUGGUAUUUUUUGGGUGGUUGUUUAUGUUUUCAGGUUGUGGACUAUUGACCUGUUGUUGCGACGACUUCAACCCCACAACUGUUUUGUUUUGUACUUGUAUGUGAAUGUAAACAAAUGUCUGUUAUGUAAAUGAAAUGUAAAAUGUAAUAUGUAAGAUGUAAAUGUAAUAUGUAAGAUGUAAUGUAAUAUGUAAAUGUAAGAUGUAAUGUAAUAUGUAAUUUGUAGUUUGUAAAUGUAGUCGUAAGUGUAACGUUGUAACUGUAAGUGUAACUUUGAAAUUGUAAAUGUAACUUUGUAAUUGUAAAUGUAACUUUGUAAA